AUACGUAGGGGGCAAGCGUUGUCCGGAAUUAUUGGGCGUAAAGGGUGCGUAGGCGGCCUUUUAAGUCAGGUGUGAAAGCCCACGGCUUAACCGUGGGAUUGCAUUUGAAACUGGAAGGCUUGAGUAUCGGAGAGGGUAGUGGAAUUCCCAGUGUAGCGGUGGAAUGCGUAGAUAUUGGGAGGAACACCAGUGGCGAAGGCGACUACCUGGACGAAAACUGACGCUGAGGCACGAAAGCUAGGGGAGCAAACAGGAUUAGAUACCCUGGUAGUCCUAGCCGUAAACGAUGGGUACUAGGUGUAGGAGGUUUCGAUACCUUCUGUGCCGCAGUUAACGCAAUAAGUACCCCGCCUGGGGAGUACGUGCGCAAGCAUGAA
rnacentral:rRNA from 1 species